rnacentral:rRNA from 1 species
AUGCAAAAUUUAUCUGCUCCAAACAAGGACUCUAGGAAGCCUGCUGAAGACAAAGAAAAUGAUCAUGAAGUUACAUACUUUUGUGAAACCUGUAGUGCUCAGUACCAUGCCAACGCCUUUUGGAUAUGUUAUGACAUAUGUGACCAGUGGUUCCAUGGCAAAUAUGUGAACAUAACUGCCACUGAAGCAAAACAUCUCAAAGAUUUCAUGUGUGCUGACUGCAUCGGCGAAGAGAUCGGAGAGUAG